rnacentral:lncRNA from 1 species
GUCGUUUCGGGAGGUGCCUGGGCAGCUCAUGUUUGGACUGGACUUGUGUGAUGGUUUGGGCCUAUUUUUGUUUUAUUUCUUGGGCCCAAACCGAUUUUCAUCACUUCUUUUCUUUUGUUUUCCCUAAUUUUAAAAAAAAUGAAAUAAAAAUGAAAAAAUGAAAUUAAAAUAAACACAAUGUAACACUUCCACCAAAUUAAAAUGUUUAAGUAAGUUAAAUCACAACCUAGAACGAACGAUGCAUAUAUAUAUAUUUUUUUUUGAAUUUUCUUUCAACGACCGAAUUACGGUUUGAUUACCAUGACAGACAUAAGUUCUAUUUUGAUUGAUAAGAUCAAAUGCAACAUGGACCGAACCACAAAUGACUAACAGCACAUGCCACGAAAAAUCGAAAAAAAUUGUACAGCGGGUCAUUUGUCACUAUUUUUGUUUUCUUUUGGAGCGAUUGUCCGUGAAGCAAAAAUCACGUGCUUACAGUGUUUAUUAGUUAUAUGCUAAUACACUUAGCGUUACAAUUUUAUAAUCAGUUCCACAAAUAAGCCAUGAACAUUCAUGUUACCUUCUCAGGAAAAAGAAAAACUAUGAAGAUUUUCCAUGACUUCAUGUUUCAAGUUAGUUCUUGUCAAAGUUUAUUGAAAGAUGGUAACAUUGUAGCCUUCCAGUUAAAUAUAUGCUAAAAUUGUGGAGUGCCCAAAAGAUUAAAGAUGACCAAGUCUCUCUCUCUGUAUGUGUGUAUUUACCUAAUUUCUCCAUAUGAGCUCUUUCCUACAUGCUAACAAUUAAACAUCACAGUUUCUAUCGCCGGAUAGAUUGUCAAAUCUAAUAGUGAAUAUAGCUUAGCUCAGAAUUCACAUUUUUUUUAAUCAAAAAAGACAAUAAGCUCAUAUUCACAUUUCUUGAUAACAAUAAAAAAAUACAAUGAGCACAUAAUGACCUCCAAACUAUUAAAAUCUCAGCUUUCUCACUAAUCUUUUUAUAAACUAAACAAAACUUCGCUUGUUAGAGAAAUCUCAGAGGAAGCAUAUCAAUACUCUUUCCUCUUAUACAUAAGAAAGACUUAUUUUUUAGAUUAUCCAUAAAAAAGUUUACAUAUUAGUACAUAAAAAAUAUCAUUGAACAUUGCUGGUUUAAACCCCUAUGCGUGGUCCCAAAUACCACCAAAAUUUCAACUGAUAUUAAAUUUUGAACCCAUAAUCUCAACUCAAUGGACAACCAAUUGUCACCCUCUGUAUUUGUUAGUUUUCCUUAUUGGGAAAAUCCAUAUUGAAUAGGAAGGUGCAGAGAACUUCAAUUAAUGGAUGAUCUCCAGAAUAGCAGCAAAGUGGCUACCAAAGCAAUAAAGAGCCUAAACGUUAGAUAGUCGAAGGAAAUCCCAAUUUCUUUUCUAGGUAUUUUUGAAUUUCACAAAACUAACAUAAAAUUACAAUUUAAUUUCAAGCAACAAAUCAGCAAGAACCCAAAAAUAAAACAAUCACAGUCACAUGUAAUGAAAAAAGAUAGAACAAUAAACUAACCUUUCAGCCAUAUGAUUAUGUCAAUUGAACAACUACUGAACUACAAAACCCCAAACAAAACCCUAAUUUUCUGUUACAACGAAGAAGCAGAAGCCAAAGGAAUUCUGAGCGAAGAUCAGCGGUGACUGUGAACCAUGUGAUUAUGUCAAUUUAGCAACUAAUGAACCACAAAAAUCCAAGCCAAACACCAAUUCUUUCUUACAACGAAGAAGAAGGUUGUGGAAUUCUCACCGAAGAGAGGAAAAAGCAUAGCAAAUUUAAUUCUGUACUUUGAAAUUAGAUACAAAUUAGAUAGAGAAAAACAAAGAAGAUGGUUAGAUAGAGAUAGAGAGUGACUUAUC